rnacentral:lncRNA from 1 species
CAAACUGCCUGCAUCCACUGUCCUUCCUUUACCCGAAAGCAAAUGCACUAUAAUGGUCAAGGUUUUCACAACAAGGUUUCUAUACAGACCUUCACGUCAAAAUAUAAAACAACUCUUUAACCCUUUAACCAAAAUAUAGGCAUACAACACCAAAGAAUAGCAACAAGAUAUCCCCUCUCCUGCAAUCUUUGUCAACUUUGAACAAUCCUCAAAGUUCCCAGAACGCAGUUGUUGACGGAUUGGCAAGCGUACCAAAUCGUUCAAGUAAUAUAAUUGGUAAAACCCAAUAUCGUUCUUCCCAAGAGACUCAAAAGGCUUUCUCGUUCACGUGAAUUAAAAUAAUAAGACUUGAAAAUAAAAAUAAUUAAUUUGAUUUGAGAACAAAAAUAUUAACAUGCGAAAGAGAUUGAUUCAAUUGACAAAAGAAAACAAUGGAUGAAUGAAGUUGUUGUGGGUUUACAAUUUCAUCUUUAUCCGCUCUCUCUUAUCUACUCCUCUUGAAUUAUUAGUUUGAUUAAUUAAUUGUCAUGCAACUUUCUUAGCCUACCCUUAACCCGAUCCCUCGGUGAAAAAAGCCUAAUAUUAAUUACUGGCUUGCUAUCCUUAGCCUCCCCUAGCAAUUAAUACCGCAUUAAAGAGCAGAAGUUAAACACAAUUGAUCGUCAUACCCCUAUCCCUAGGUGAUAUUGCAUAAUCAAGAAAUUACUCACCAGUUCAUGACAUUACUGUACGUCCCCGUAUCAAUAAAGACAAACAACAGUUAUCGAAUGAGUUAAACGAUAAAGGCAUUAAGCACAGAUGAGAACCCAACAAUUAACAAUCAAACAUAUGGAAACCAUAUAAAUAAUCAAGAGUUUCAAUAGAAGAGAGUAUCAAAAGAUUACAUUGUUUCCUCCAACAACAAUAGGGUUUAGUUCACCAUUUUCAUGGUGAAACUAGAUGAAAAAUGGAAGAAGAAUGGAAAAGCAAACCCUANNNNNNNNNNNNNNNNNNNNGAAGAAGAAUGGAAAAGCAAACCCUAGAAAAGAUGAAAAGGAGCCUAAGCAUCCAAGAGAUCCUCUCCAGAGAGCAAAAUUAGGUCUGGACGUCCUCCCCUGUCAAAAGAAUGACUCUGAACUCGCAAUAGGGGUAUUUAUAGGUGAGGAGCGCAGCAGAAAACAGGCCCAAGCCCAACGGACCACCGCCCGGCGGAACAAGUGUGCCGCCCGGCGGUUUCCCGUAAGCCUCAGAACCGCC